UAGUUCGGGAUAGCCACUGGAAACGGUGAUUAAUACCGGAUACUCCUUCUUGUUAUAAGACAAGUCGGGAAAGUUUUUCGCUAAGGGAUCAGUCUAUGUUCCAUCAGCUUGUUGGUGAGGUAAUGGCUCACCAAGGCUAUGACGGAUAUCUGGUUUGAGAGGAUGAUCAGACACACUGGAACUGAGACACGGUCCAGACUCCUACGGGAGGCAGCAGUGAGGAAUAUUGCACAAUGGAGGAAACUCUGAUGCAGCAACGCCGCGUGGAGGAUGACGCAUUUCGGUGUGUAAACUCCUUUUAUUAGGGAAGAUAAUGACGGUACCUAAUGAAUAAGCACCGGCUAACUCCGUGCCAGCAGCCGCGGUAAUACGGAGGGUGCAAGCGUUACUCGGAAUCACUGGGCGUAAAGGGUGCGUAGGCUGGCUUUUAAGUCAGAUGUGAAAUCCAAUGGCUCAACCAUUGAACUGCAUUUGAAACUGAAAGCCUAGAGUUCAGAAGGGGCAGAUGGAAUUAGUGGUGUAGGGGUAAAAUCCGUAGAUAUCACGAGGAAUAUCAAAAGCGAAGGCGAUCUGCUGGGAUGAUACUGACG
rnacentral:rRNA from 1 species